ensembl:snoRNA
ACCCUCCUGAUUCCAUACCCAUUAGAUCUGAACAUUGGUCUCAGUGCUUAUAAAAAGAGGAAAAGAAAAAUUGAAAGUGACUUCGUUUCUUUUAUGAUACGCGAGCUAGUUACAAACAAGC